GCAGAUGUAGUGUAGUGGUAACACGUCUUCUUCCCAAGAAGGAAACAAGGGUCCGAUUCCCUUCAUCUGCU
rnacentral:tRNA from 1 species